rnacentral:lncRNA from 10 species
CUGAAACCCUCUGAGGCGGGUGGCCGGCAGAAGGGCCCCCUCCAAGGGGUCCCCAACCCCUGGGCUGUGGACCAGUACCAAUCCAUGGCCUGUUAGGAACCAGGCCACACAGCAGGAGGCGAGCGGCAGGCAAGCGAGCAUCACCACCUGAGCUCUGCUUCCUGCCAGGUCAGCAGCGCAUUCGAUUCUCAUGGGAGGGUGAACCCUACUGUGAACUGCACAUGCGAAGAAUCUAAGUUGUGCGUUCCUUAUGAGAAUCUAACUAAUGAUGACUUGAGGUGGAAGUUUCAUCCCGAAACAUUCCCCCAUCCAGGUCCGUGGAAAACUGUCUUCCUUGAAACCAGUCCCUGUUGCCAAAAAGGUUGGGGAUUGCUGGUUCAGAAAGCUUUAACGUUACAUCCAACUAUCCUUUCUAUUCAGAUCAUGUGACAGAGUUUCCAAAAAUGGUAAACCACCUGUUUCCCUCUGGUCCUGCAGAAAAAAAAUUAAACCAGUACUGUGGUCUCUUUAAACAGUUUAUUUCUGAGAAGAACCUUCAAAUGCGAGCACAAGAUAAUUUUUCCCCCCCAAAUCCUAGGCAUUUUAGUUCAUUUAAAAUGGGUUUAUGUAAUACCUGCAAAUGGAACACAAACAUACCAUUUUUUUCUUUCUUCUCUCAGCCACAUGAAGAAUUUAGUUUUUGAACAUGGUAAAAUAUUCUUCAGCUAUUAAUUUCCUGUACAUACCUCAUAGUCCCUGUUUAUAUUUUGGGUAUUUUUUUUUUUUUAGAGACAUUGCACUCCACAUAGACUCGCUCUGUACCUAGUCUGGAAUGCAGUGGUGUGAUCACGGCUCAGUGCAGCCUCAAACUCCUGGGCUCAAGCAAUCCUACUGCCUCAGCCUCCUGAGUAGCUGGAACCACAGGCAUAUGCCACCAUGCCCAGGUAAUUUUUUUUUUUUUUAAGAGAUAGGGUCUCCCUAUAUAUUCCCUGGGCUGGUUGGUCUCCAACUCCUGACCUUCAACAGUUCUCUUGCCUUGGCCUCCCAAAGUGCUGAGAUUACAGAUGUGAGCCACCAUGCCCAGCUCUGUUUACAUUUUUAAAAACCAUGUCGCCACACAAGCGAGCAUUUUUUAUUCAGUUAAAUCAGAUUGUUUAAAAACCUUAACUGUGAGGCUGGGCACAGUGGCUCACACCUGUAAUCCUAGCACUUUGGGAGGCCGAGGUGGGCGGAUCACCUGAGGUCAGGAGUUCGAGACCAGCCUGAUCAAUAUGGUGAAACCUCGUCUCUACUAAAAAUACAAAAAUUAGCCGGGCAUGAUGGCACGCACCUGUAAUCUCAGUUACUCAGGCUGAGACAGGAGAAUUGCUUGAACCCCGGCGGCGGAAGUUGCAGUGAGUCGAGAUCUCACCAUUGCACUCCAGCAUGGAUGACAGAGCGAAACUCCAUCUCAAAAAUAAAAAAACAAAAACCUUAACUGUGGCAUACAUACUGAGAUGUAAAAAAAGAUUCUAGAGCCACCCACAGUCCUUGGCUGAAGGCCUCCUUCCCUCAUCUGCAAAGCCAGCAAUGCUGCAUCCGUGCCUUCUUCUGUAGUCACAUCUUCCUCUGGCUCUCUUCUGCCUCCCUCUUCCACUUUAAAGGUUCUUUCUAAUUAUAUUGGACCCAUGCAGAUAAUCCAAGAUGAUCUCCCUAUUUUAAGGUCACCUGAUUAGCCAUCUUAAUUUCCCCUUGCUAUGUAACCUAACACAUUCACAGGUUCUGGGCAUUAGGAUGUGAUGUCUUGCAGGGUGGGUACUAUUCUGCCUAGCAAACACGUGAAUGCAGUGUUCCGAGGUGUUUCUCAGGACUUACAAGAGUCACUUUAAUACUAAAGAUAAUAUACAUUCUCUAAGGAAGAGGAGUUUGCAGACUAUCCAGUGUUUUCAAUAUAUCUAGAUGUUUCAACCUGAGGAAGCUGAUUACUAUAUAUAUAUAUAUGGAGAGAAAGAGAAUAUAUAUACACUCCAUAGAGUAUAUAUACACUAUAUAUAUAUACUGUACUCUCUAGA